CAAGGUCACACGGGGAGCCAUCAGAAGACUGCUGACACUGACUCACAGCAAGCCUGGCCACUUCUCCUCCUCAGCUUUGCCAAGAUAACCAUCUCUGCUGGGAAGAGCCAAGUGAUGUGUUUGCUGGAGUCCCUCACUCUCCUGAUCCUUCCUGGUGAGGGAGGAAAUCGCUUGUUUUGACAUUUUCUAAAUAGGAAGAGCCAAGACAAAGAAAACUUCAUCUGUUGAAGCAAAUUAGGUGUUACUGGGCCCUGUUGGAGCUGAUUUCAGAGGCCCUGAGACGUCC